UACAGAGGGUGCAAGCGUUAAUCGGAAUUACUGGGCGUAAAGCGCACGUAGGUGGAUAUUUAAGUCGGAAGUGAAAGCCCUGGGCUUAACCUGGGAAUUGCCUCCGAUACUGGAUGUCUAGAGUAUGGUAGAGGAUAGUGGAAUUUCCGGUGUAGCGGUGAAAUGCGUAGAUAUCGGAAGGAACACCAGUGGCGAAAGCGGCUAUCUGGACCAAUACUGACACUUAGGUGCGAAAGCGUGGGGAGCAAACAGG
rnacentral:rRNA from 1 species